UACGUAGGGUGCGAGCGUUGUCCGGAAUUAUUGGGCGUAAAGGGCUCGUAGGCGGUCUGUUGCGUCAGGAGUGAAAACUCGGGGCUUAACCCCGAGCCUGCUUCUGAUACGGGCAGACUAGAGGUAUGCAGGGGAGAACGGAAUUCCUGGUGUAGCGGUGAAAUGCGCAGAUAUCAGGAGGAACACCGAUGGCGAAGGCAGGUCUCUGGGCCACUACUGACGCUGAGAAGCGAAAGCAUGGGGAGCGAACAGG
rnacentral:rRNA from 1 species